CGAGAACGAAGUGCAAGCAAUGCCCUGGGAAUGCUCAGGAAGGCACAAAUACCAACUGAGUGAAACAGGAAAUUCAGUUCUCAUUUCAUGGAGUUCCUGAGGGGGGACCUCUCAGAGACCACAGGGGUCCAUGUAGCAUGCCUUAUGAGGACUGGUGAAGACAGAAAUGAGAAGAGCAUUAAACUUUGGGGCUAUUUAUGAAGAUUGAAGGUUGGGCUGAGGAGGAAGAUCCACCAGAGGAAAGUGAGGAGUGGCCAUUGAGGAGACCAUCACCAUUGGAGAGAAGACAGGCCACUCUGGGAUAAAGACCCCUCACAUCUGUGCUCCACGAUGGCUCUCGGUUCUGGAUUAGCUGCGAACUGACAAUUAAGAUAGAGUUGCUGGCUGCACCUGACCCACCCUUUGGCCCUACAAGGCAGAAAAGAUUAAAGAGAUCUAGCCACACACUGACUCUGAAGACUCCCAAGCCAUAACACGAUGCAUGCUGUUAAGUUGGAACAAGAACAACUUUGAUAUGUUGCCAACAUCCCGUGUGCUAGUUUAAGGUCAACUACUGAAUACCAUGGAAUGCCACUGUCACCUCACCAGGAGUCUCUUUUUGCUAGAAAUACUGGUGCUUUGUGUUUAGGUUUUGUUUUCCUUAUACGUGUAUAAUAAAGACGGCAAAUAUUUGA